rnacentral:rRNA from 1 species
GAUGAACGCUGGCGGCGUGCCUAAUACAUGCAAGUCGAGCGAACAGACGAGGAGCUUGCUCCUCUGACGUUAGCGGCGGACGGGUGAGUAACACGUGGAUAACCUACCUAUAAGACUGGGAUAACUUCAGGAAACCGGAGCUAAUACCGGAUAAUAUAUUGAACCGCAUGGUUCAAUAGUGAAAGACGGUUUUGCUGUCACUUAUAGAUGGAUCCGCGCCGCAUUAGCUAGUUGGUAAGGUAACGGCUUACCAAGGCAACGAUGCGUAGCCGACCUGAGAGGGUGAUCGGCCACACUGGAGCUGAGACACGGUCCAGACUCCUACGGGAGGCAGCAGUAGGGAAUCUUCCGCAAUGGGCGAAAGCCUGACGGAGCAACGCCGCGUGAGUGAUGAAGGUCUUCGGAUCGUAAAACUCUGUUAUUAGGGAAGAACAAAUGUGUAAGUAACUAUGCACGUCUUGACGGUACCUAAUCAGAAAGCCACGGCUAACUACGUG